CUGAGAAACCCGAAAGGUCGAAGGGAGAAAUUCAUUCGCGUUUCGCCGUAGGCGUCGGACGGACGUGCGACGGGAUCCCGUUCGCGAGAUUCCGCGCCUUCCGCUCGUCGAUCCGGCGGCGAACGCGUGCACUUUUCUCCUGGUAGGACGUCGCGAUCCGUUGGGCGUCGGUCUACGGCGCGCGGUGGAGCCCGCCCGAGCUACGCGCUCGGACGGACCCGCGUCGCCCGGCUGACUCGCUCGACGGUAUACGAAAGGUUAAAGGCCGCUCUCGGAGCGUUCGGCUCGUGGCAAGCGCGUCAGAUGUAUCGGCGAUCGGACCUGGUGCCGGUCCCGAUCUCGGACGACUGUUGGCCGCGAAGUUCUCGAACAGACCUCGGACCGAUCUGCGACGCUAUAGCUUUGGGUACUUUCAGGACCCGUCUUGAAACACGGACCAAGGAGUCUAGCAUGUGCGCGAGUCAUUGGGAAUCACUAAACCUAAAGGCGUAAUGAAAGUAAAGGUCCUCCUAGCGGGGACCGAGGGAAGACGGGCGGUUUACCCUUAAAAGUGGCCGCUCCGCACUCCCGGGGCGUCUCGUUCUCAUCGCGAGAAGAGGCGCACCAAGAGCGUACACGCUGGGACCCGAAAGAUGGUGAACUAUGCCUGGUCAGGACGAAGUCAGGGGAAACCCUGAUGGAGGUCCGUAGCGAUUCUGACGUGCAAAUCGAUCGUCGGAACUGGGUAUAGGGGCGAAAGACUAAUCGAACCAUC
rnacentral:rRNA from 1 species